AUCUAAUCUUCAACGCUCUGAAUCACGCUUUAUUUUCUACUCAAUUGAGAAGCAAUGGCAGAAGGGAUCAUCUCCAACGUAGCAGGGGAACUCAUUACAAAACUGGGUUCUCGACACAUUCGUACGAUUGGCUUAUGGGGAGGUGUCAAAGCUGAACUUAAGAAGCUUGAGAACACUGUUUCAAUGAUUCAAGCUGUGGUUCUUGAUGCUGAGGAGCAGUACUCAAAGAGCAACCAAGUCAAGAUUUGGGUUGAAUCGUUGAAAGAAGCAUUGUACGAUGCAGAAGACUUGUUAGAUGAAUUUUCCGCACAUGCUUUACGGCAACAAGUGAUGAAAGGGUGUGGAAUAGCGAAGGAGGUACGCCUUUUCUUUUCUAGUUCUAAUCAGUUUGCUUAUGGUCUCAAAAUGGCUUUUGAAAUCAAGGCCAUUAGAGAUAGACUAAAGGGUAUUCACGAAAAUAGAUCAAUGUUCUACUUAGAGGAGGGUUGCUUGAAGAAACAUUUAAAAUCUGAAGAAAGGGAGCAAACUCAUUCAUCUGCACCCAAAGUAGUUGUUGGUAGAGAAAAUGAUAAGAAUGAAAUUAUAAAAAUCCUAUUGUCCAACUAUGAAGAGAAUGUGUCAAUUGUUUCUAUUGUUGGUAUUGGAGGAUUAGGAAAGACAACGCUUGCUCAAUUUGUGUACAGUGAUGAGAUAAUAGAGACCCAUUUUGAGCUCAAACUAUGGGUUUCUGUUUCUGAUCAUUUUGAUGUAAGAUUAAUAGUGGCAAAGAUUUUAGAAUCUGUUACUGGUGAGAGACAUUUAGACCUUGAAAUGAAUACUUUGAAAAAUCUUCUUCAUGACAAAAUUAAUGGAAGAAAGUAUUUGCUUGUGUUUGAUGAUAUGUGGAAUGAGAACUGGGAAAGAUGGUUUCACUUGAAGGAAUUGUUGGCUGGUGGUGCUAGAGGAAGUAGAAUACUGGUAACGUCACGCCUAAAAAAUGUUGCAGACAUGAUACAGUCGGAUUCAAUCUAUGAAUUAAAAGGUCUAAAUGAUGUUCAUUCUUGGUCCCUGUUCACAGAUAUGGCAUUUAAACAGGGGCAAGUUCCAAGCUCAAGCCAUGAGGGAAUUGGAAAGGAGAUUAUGGCAAAGUGUGCUGGAGUUCCUUUAGCCAUAAGAGUAAUAGGCCGUUUGUUGUAUUUUAAAAAUACAAUAUCUGAGUGGCAGUCCUUUAAAGAUGAAGAACUCAUAAACAUAGAUCACAAAGAGGAUGGUAUUUUACCAAAUCUUAAGUUGAGUUAUGAUCAUCUCCAUUCACAUUUGAAACGUUGUUUUGCCUAUUGUAGCUUAUUUCCAAAGGGCUAUAUAAUCAAUGUAGAAUCAUUGAUAUAUCUUUGGAUGGCUCAAGGAUAUAUCAAAUCAUCAGAUUCAAGACGAUGUCUUGAAGAUAUAGGUUUUGAAUAUUUUACAGACCUUCUUUGGAGGUCAUUCUUUCAAGUGCAAGAGGUGGAUGUAUUUGGUGUAACAAGUUGUAAAAUGCAUGAUCUAAUGCAUGAUCUUGCUGCAUUAGUGGCUGGAGGAGAGAGUACACUUUUAAAUUCGAAAGCAGAAUGUAUUGAUGAAAGAGUUCGACAUGUAUUUUUUGUUGAUGAAUUAGACUCAUGGGGGCAUGUGUCUUCUUCCUCGCUUAAUGCAAGGAAGGUACGAACUUUUGCUGCGCCAAUUUGUAAAAGUGAGGAAGAUCACUGCCAUGUAAUUUUUUCUAAUUUGAAACGUUUGAGAGUGCUAAACUUGCAUAAUUCUGGAGUUGAGACAAUUCCACGUAGUAUUGCCAAAUUGAAGCACAUAAGAUAUCUUGAUCUUUCUCAUAACAAGGGCAUUGAAUUGCUUCCUGAUUCCAUAACUAAACUCCAAACCCUGCAAGUGCUCAAACUGACCAAGUGUGAAAGGCUUAGGCAGUUGCCAAAACGUAUCAAAAAAUUGGUCAGUCUGAGGCUUCUGAACAUAGGGGGUUGUGAUGGUUUGACUCACAUGCCUCGGGGACUUAGAAAACUGACAUCUCUCCAGAAUUUGUCAACUUUCAUAGUGGCAAAAGAUAAUGGCAUCUCCAAGCAUAGUGGUGGGCUUGGUGAGUUACAUGACUUGGAGAACUUGAGAGGAAGGCUGGAAAUCUUAAAUCUGCUGUAUGUAAAAAAUCCAGCAUCUGAAUUUGAG
rnacentral:misc_RNA from 1 species